GGGACUGAGGUGUGGCUUUGCUGAACUUGUGGACAAAGAUUUAAAGACAGGUGAUAAAAUAUGUUUUCUCUUUUUUGACCUAGAGCUCACUGUUCAGUGUGGGUUUUGAUGUUUGUAUAGAGGAAUACC